rnacentral:rRNA from 1 species
AGUCACGACGCAUAUCAAUAAGCGGAGGAAAAGAAACCAACAGGGAUUGCCCUAGUAACGGCGAGUGAAGCGGCAACAGCUCAAAUUUGAAAUCUGGCUUCGGCCCGAGUUGUAAUUUGCAGAGGAAGCUUUAGGCGCGGCACCUUCUGAGUCCCCUGGAACGGGGCGCCAUAGAGGGUGAGAGCCCCGUAUAGUUGGAUGCCUAGCCUGUGUAAAGCUCCUUCGACGAGUCGAGUAGUUUGGGAAUGCUGCUCAAAAUGGGAGGUAAAUUUCUUCUAAAGCUAAAUACCGGCCAGAGACCGAUAGCGCACAAGUAGAGUGAUCGAAAGAUGAAAAGCACUUUGAAAAGAGGGUUAAAUAGCACGUGAAAUUGUUGAAAGGGAAGCGCUUGUGACCAGACUUGCGCCGGGCGGAUCAUCCGGUGUUCUCACCGGUGCACUCCGCCCGGCUCAGGCCAGCAUCGGUUCUCGCGGGGGGAUAAAGGUCCUGGGAACGUAGCUCCUCCGGGAGUGUUAUAGCCCGGGGCGUAAUGCCCUCGCGGGGACCGAGGUUCGCGCAUCUGCAAGGAUGCUGGCGUAAUGGUCAUCA